rnacentral:lncRNA from 1 species
UUGUCAUUUAACGAAAAAGAAGGGCAGUGUUUCCUGCCUUUCAGGAAAAGGCAGACUGAAUUGAAGACAGUUUCUCUGUACACACUUUUUUUCUCGACAUCACUUCCUGUCCCGCCCUCUGAUCCACAAAGCUGAGAGACUCAAGCUGGUUCUUCUCAUUCGACAUGAUGCCGUCUCGUCUCAUCGGUUCCAUCAUCACUGUGUUCUGGAUUAAAGGAGUUUACCUCAGUAAAGAAAAACAAGUGGUCCAGACUCCAACUGAACUGUUUGUCCAACCAAAUGAUGAGGUCACCCUGAGCCUCACACAUGAAAUCACAAACUAUGACAGUAUUCUCUGGUAUCAGCGCUCAGCAGGAGACACUUCCCUGAAGCUGAUUGCCUACAUGGCCUAUAAAAGGCCUACAGUCGAGACGCCAUUUAAAAGCCGCUUUAACGUGAGCGGAGAUGGAGAGAAAGCAGCUUAUCUUCACACCCUGAGCCUGAGACACCCUGAAGACAGCGGACAAUAUUUUGGAGCAGCAUUUUAUACACAGUACUGAAGACGGUGGCGCUCUCAUACAAAAACCUCCAUAGCGAUCCAGCAGAUAGCGUCACACCAACAGGAAACCAGUGGAACCAUGUGACACGCUCUCAAACUGCUGAAAGAUGUCUGUGAAUGUGGAAGAUUUGUUGAGUUCCCUUUUGUAUGUGGAAGUAAACGUUAAAGAGAUAGGGGUUUGAGAAUAAGGAUUUUUUUAAAUAAAUCAGAAUUUUAACUUAAUAAAAGAAAUACCAUAACCGCUCACAGUUGUUGAUUAAUGUCAUAUUUUGCUGAUCAGCUCUACAAAGUAAUUUUUCACCGUAAUGUUUUAUGUUCAUGUGUUCCCAGAUUCUCAGAGGUCAUCUCUGUAUGAAUGAGAAUCAAAGAGCGGUGAGAACACACUGACAUGAAGAUAGCUGGAAGCUCCUCCUUCCUCAUUACAAAUGCACAAUAAAGGAUGAUUUCCCACUAAUGUAUUAUCAUUCAUGCCUUUGCAUAUCUCUGUUAAGAUUUGAGUCCUCACGGAGAACAUUACGUCUCCAUGAGGAUAUUCAAAAUGCUUCUCAUUUUGUUUUUUCCUCUGUCUUUGCUCACAGGUAAGAGGCAUCAGAUGUUUAAUUUCUCGUGACACGAACAAAACUUUCUGUUCACUUCAUUUCUUUUCUCCAUUUUUGCAAUCUAGACAUUGUGAUAUCAUCACUUUUAAUCCAACAAUCACCAGUAAAACUUUUGAUGAAACCUGAACAAGAAGCCGCCCAUCUUGUCUGUCACCACGGCGACAACAACUACCCCUACAUGCUUUGGUACCGGUCAGCAGCAGCAGCAGGAGGCCAGAGGGACAUGGAGCUGAUCGGUCGGCUUCAUUAUGAAAACUCGACCCCCGAGAAGAACUUUGAGGCCCGUUUCAACAUAACGGGCCACUCACAGGGCCGAGCGCAGCUUGUCAUCUCCAGCAUGAACCCAGCAGACAGUGCAGAGUACUUCUGUGCAGCGAGUCAGCACAGUGGUACAACACCUCUGGCUCCUUCACAAAAAGCUGGUGGCCCACAGUAUCAAACAAACACUGACAUAGAAACCACAACACAGCUGCUCCCCUAAUGCUAAUGAGACUCUUUUGUCUGUGAAACACGGCAGAGACUAUGAUGUCAUUUCCUCCUCAUAGAUCUCAAAGUGUUGGCUCUUUAUGUUUUCAUUCAUCUCCCCGUCCUACAUCAAAAUGAUUCCAGGCUUCCACACAUUGACUUUCUUUGUGCUUUGGGCUGCAGGUAAAGUUAAUUUUUUU